AGUGAUGAAGGUCUUAUGGAUUGUAAAGCUCUUUCGGCGGGGAUGAUAAUGACAGUACCCGCAUAAGAAGCCCCGGCUAACUCCGUGC
rnacentral:rRNA from 1 species